rfam:Salmo salar isolate Sally breed double haploid chromosome ssa24, whole genome shotgun sequence.
UGCAUUCACUAGUGCAAGUCGCUCUGGAUAAGAGCGUCUGCUAAAUGACUAAAA